GGCGAGGGAGUAAGGAGGACUCCCUGUGAGUCAAUAGUAGAAGACAGGCCCGGAAGGGCGGGAGACUCACAAAAGCGACCUGUCACCCAAGGGUGCGAGUGGGUGGAAGUGGUGUGGGCUGGAGUUAGCCAGCUCUCCCCAAUCGCCCGCCUACGAAGCCAGAGGCAUUCACACACAUCUACCCAAUCAACCGGAGUGUCUAUCGGGGGGGGGGGUGUUCACAAGUGAGCGUUGGAGGAAUUUCUCCUCUGCCUGGAUCUUUCUCUCCCCCCCCCCCCACCUUUCCUCCGCGUUAUUAGUGAGAUACUGGCUAAGGCAGCAAUCAACGUCAUGUAGCCGAAGGGCAAAAACACAGGCUUGUCCUAGCCUUUUAGCGCCUCCUACUGGCGACCGUGAAGAAAGCGCACGACGGGGCAAGGGAAACGGGGUCCCGUCGGACACGGUUCGGGGUUCCAUUCCUUGCCUUCAAGAAGCCGAACAGAUGCCACACCAUCUGCAUGGACAAAGCAAGAUUUUUCUCCCCUGUUCUUUCCCAGGAAAAGCAGCUAUAUAUUCUUGGAGCUCGCUGCCUUCCAUGGAAAUCAAACGGCGGACUGAAUGGUAACAGGAAGAGGAGAGAUACUGGCAGCUAAGAUCCUUGUGUGAACAAGUGGUGGAUUUGAACCGUGGUGAAUCUGUAGCACUGCCCAGUACCUCGUGCAUGUCGCUUAAGUACCAGGGAGGUGUGGCUAAAGGUGGUUGGUUCUGCGCAUGCUCGAGGAUCAUUUUCGCUCUGCAGUUGCCGGGGAAAGAGCUCAUGGCCGUAGCUCCUGGGUGAAGGCCCCACUCAUCUGUAUGAAGUCUCGGUUCCAUCUUGGGAGCCUUUCGGAGGCCGAAGGAGGCUUGGGUCGUCGCCUGAGUCAUCGGGAUGUCCCUUGGGAUCCUUGGGUUCGGAAGACCCACAGUCGUUGGGCGAAGAUCUGGAUGAUCUGGUCCGGUGUUCGGUCUGUUGACUGGGCCCAGGUUGAAGUCUUUGGUCGUCGAGGGUUCCUGAUAGCUCGCUGGUGUCUGCUGGGUUGGUGAAUCUGUAGCACUGCCCAGUACCUCGUGCAUGUUGCUUAAGUACCAGGGAGGUGUGGCUAAAGACUCCAAUCUCGCCUUCAAAAUAUGUUCCCAAAGGUUAAAGGAUCCAUAGAAAGAUGUGGGAGAUUUUAUAUACCCUAGUGCUUUUUAUACCAUGUAUACCAGAACUAUGCCUCUCAGAAUUUCCAGCCAAUGAAGGUGAUGCUGACUUCACAUUUUGGCGACAGUAGACUGAACAUAUCCAGAGGGUACCAGAUUAGGAGAGAUGUUAAUUUGUAAUUUUCUGUUGACAUAUGAAGAAGUCAGUAUAUUCCCCAUACACGUAAAUAGAAAACAUGCUAACAUGCAUUAUAAAUCAUUGUGCAGAUUUUUUAUGCUGAAUUGAAAGGUUCUAACUUGUAGACUACCAGGACUGUCCAGUGUGGAAAUUAUUUGUAAAACAAAGCUAGUAUGGAACAUAGGGGUUGGAAUUAGACAGGGAACAUAGUAUAUUACAUCCGUAAUGUCUGCUAUCUCUUCUACAGCCCACUCUGUCCCUACAAAUCCACUAUUUGAGGCUCUGCCUUAAGCCCCAUUACCCCAUAAAAUGCCUUUGGGUCUCCUGUGGCUUGGAGAGAAAGGCUUCUAUAUGCACUACAUGCCAGCAGCUUGCUUUUCUUUUAGUUUUUUGUUUCCCUGUACUUCUCUAAACGCUAUCCUUGUGCUUCUCUUCUGAUUUGUUGCCACCCCCGUCUUCACCUCAUUUUUAAUAAGUGCUUUUCAUGUUCUCCUGUAUUCACUCCCAACUCAGAGGACACACCAGCUGUUCCAUUUGGAAUGAUCCGUUUUUUGCAAUUCUGCCAGGUUCUGUAUGUGCUGGUUAUAGGAGGAGGAACAGAAGAGAAGGCAAAAGGUGGUGGGUUGAGAAAGGAAAGAUGGGAAAAAAGCAAGGGGAAAAGAGGAAGAGGAGGGAGGAGGAGGAGGAGGAGGAUGGGAACAGAAAGAAGCAAAAAUAGGAGUGAUGGAUUGCUUUCAAGUUUAGACAAACUGUGGAGAUCAAGGAAACAAAUACCAGAACUAUGUAGGCAUUUAAUCAAUGUCUUUAAUUAUUUUUAAGCAUUUAUUAAAGCAACGUACACUGCUUUUAGCACUGUAAGUAUCUCAGCUUUCACUGGAUAGGGGAUAAAAUACAUAAUCCUUGCUUAUUUUUAUAGGUAGAUGGAUGUAGACUAAAAAAGAAUGUUUGCAAUAUGUGAAAAAAAACCCUCAAAACCAGAGGAACCUCUGAUUAAAAAGCAUUGUCCCCAUUUGCAGUGUACGGUGGGUGAUAUUUGCCCUUCCCACAUAGUUCUUUUCAUAUACUGAGUUUUAUAAAGCACUUUGGACCUCAAGUGUCAGGUGUUUAACUAGUGAUAUCUGUGGCUGUCAAGUUUUUUUUCCAUAAUAUAAAUAUAGAUUAAUUUAUAUUGGUAGAGGUUUCUAGGGUUGCUUAGUUACAAGAGAAUCAUAAUGGAUAAGCUUUUUAGCCUACGUUUAUGGAGAAAGAUGACUGUUGAAUAUGACUGGAGAACAAGCACUGGGAUCUAGGAUGGCCCUCAUCCUCUGUAUUAAAUACACUUUUAGAACAUAGGAGGAUAUCAGACAUGUCUGUUCCACCCCAGUGGGUGAAAAGUUACAGAUAAGGAGCAAAGUAAGUAUAGUAGGACAAGAGCAUCUUACGCUGACUUUUGUAUUUACAUUUUGAAGCUUUCUGCUGUCAUCUCCACCACUAGAAGCAAAGCUUUUUGCAGUCCUGAAGGAGAUAACUUUAACUCCCAUCAUGGACUCUCUAUUUAAAAUUCUGCUUAAUGAAGUUGAUGUGCACUAAAUGCAAAAUCCUUCUACUGCAAAAAGGAGACUCCUGCUGCCUAAUAACUCCCAUCACUAUUUUAACAAGGAAGAACACCAAUAAAUCAAUGAGUCAAAAAGGACAAAACAUUAACAGAAAUGGAAAGCAAUCACUCCUAAGAAAAAUAAAUUACAUAAGAUAUAUUACUUUUGAAGUACCCUGGAACCAACUGAAUUAGGUUCAGUUGAUUCCAUCCUUGGAAUCAAACGAACCUAAUGCUGAGGAUCCUCUAAAGUUUUACAUAGAAUAAGGAAAUGUGUUGUGGUCCGCCAGCAGCCUGUGAAGCUAGCAGUGGAGUCAGACAGUGGGGAGGCUGGGGAGGAACAUGGGCCAGUCUUGGAGUCUGGGGAAGGCCCGGACAAGGGCUCUGCGUCGGAGGCAGAGAUGGAGCCAGGGUCAUCUGGGAGUGAUGCGCAGACUCCGGAGCCCCCAGAGUUGGACAGCAGAGAGGCAGAGGAACAGGAGGAGCCUGUUUCUAGUGCACACAUGCACAGAGCUGCCAGAAGGCAAGAGCAGCUAAAGCAAAAGGGACGACUCAGGAGUAAGGCCAGGAGAUGAUUGGCCCCUCCCAUAAGGCUUACAAGAGAAACAAAGGCAAUUGGCCUUUUUGCAGGAAAGCAACGUUGCUAACUCUGUUUCCAGUUGGCGUCUCUUCUUUGUUUCUGAACUUUGUGGGGCUUUGCCAAGUAAGGCUUUUGGCAGGGUGUCAAAGAAGAUAAAGGUUGGUGAUUAUCCCAAAGGACUUUUUCUGAAGGACUUGUUUUGCAACUAAUUGGGACUCAGCUGGGAAUGAAUGUAAUUCUCAGUUGUUACAAUAAAAUAAAAUAAGUUUAUUUGGGA